GACGAACGCUGGCGGCGUGCCUAAUACAUGCAAGUCGAACGCUGAAACUUGGUGCUUGCACCGAGCGGAUGAGUUGCGAACGGGUGAGUAACGCGUAGGUAACCUGCCUGGUAGCGGGGGAUAACUAUUGGAAACGAUAGCUAAUACCGCAUAAGAGUAGAUGUUGCAUGACAUUUGCUUAAAAGGUGCAAUUGCACCACUACCAGAUGGACCUGCGUUGUAUUAGCUAGUUGGUGGGGUAACGGCUCACCAAGGCGACGAUACAUAGCCGACCUGAGAGGGUGAUCGGCCACACUGGGACUGAGACACGGCCCAGACUCCUACGGGAGGCAGCAGUAGGGAAUCUUCGGCAAUGGACGGAAGUCUGACCGAGCAACGCCGCGUGAGUGAAGAAGGUUUUCGGAUCGUAAAGCUCUGUUGUAAGAGAAGAACGAGUGUGAGAGUGGAAAGUUCACACUGUGACGGUAUCUUACCAGAAAGGGACGGCUAACUACGUG
rnacentral:rRNA from 1 species